UUAUGCUCCUGUUUGCACUAGUGCUGACCAAAGCUUCCUUUACAAAAAAAAUAAAACAAAGGAAAAAGCCAAUUGUAUAACAUCAUAGUGAUGAUCCUCAUAACGUGACGUUGUUGGAAAUCCAGUUUCUCCAACUCCCUUCUUACCCGAACGACGGACACUUUUCGGAAGAUUCACGGAUCUUAAAGCAGGCUCUGAAGACAAUCAUCAUGAAGACGACCAUCAUUAUUCUGUUCGUUCUGGUCGCUUGGUGCGCUGUUUCCGAGGUGGAAGCGCUGCAUCAUCGUGCCUUACAGCGUUCAAUCAGGGCUGCUGCCCAAGCCUUCGCUCCUUCGCCGCUGAGGUCUCCUCGCAGUGAUCGGUGCUAUAGGAACAUCUGCUACAAAUCAACUGUUUUCUGAUGCUGAUGGCACCUGGAUGUCGCACGUCAAGCGGUCACGGAUACGAGUGGUCCUUACACUUGACGUUUCGUGUUCAGAGGCAACGUGAGGAGGACGACGAAGCGAGCAUGCCUUCUGGCUUCUGGCAAAGCGUCCAUCAGUGUAGGCGAUGCAUACCAGAUUGUAAAGAAUCCUGGGUAACCUCCCUCACAACAAAGUUCAAAAAUGUGCGGCUCAAGAUACACGGUAAGAGGAGAGUUGACGAGAACAGAAUCAAGUAUGGCAAACAGUUGAAGAAGAAGGCGCAAGACAGCACCAUUAACAUUUUUUUUUUUGCAUUUUGAAACGUCGCCCUAUCAAAAAAAU